rnacentral:rRNA from 1 species
UACGUAGGUGGCGAGCGUUGUCCGGAUUUACUGGGCGUAAAGAGCGCGCAGGCGGCUGGUCAAGUCCGAUGUGAAAGCUCCCGGCUUAACUGGGAAAUUGCAUCGGAAACUGAUCGGCUGGAAGGUGGGAGAGGGUAGCGGAAUUCCCGGUGUAGUGGGUGAAAUGCGUAGAUAUCUGGAGGAACACCGGUGGCGAAGGCGGGUCUCUGGGCCGAUACUGACGCUGAGGAGCGAAAGCGUGGGGAGCGAACAGG